CCUACGGGGGGCAGCAGUGGGGAAUAUUGCACAAUGGGCGCAAGCCCGAUGCAGCCAUGCCGCGUGUAUGAAGAAGGCCUUCGGGUUGUAAAGUACUUUCAGCGGGGAGGAAGGUGUUGUGGUUAAUAACCACAGCGAUUGACGAUACCCGCAGAAGAAGCACCGGCUAACUCCGUGCCAGCAGCCGCGGUAAUACGGAGGGUGCAAGCGUUAAUCGGAAUUACUGGGCGUAAAGCGCACGCAGGCGGUCUGUCAAGUCGGAUGUGAAAUCCCCGGGCUCAACCUGGGAACUGCAUUCGAAACUGGCAGGCUAGAGUCUUGUAGAGGGGGGUAGAAUUCCAGGUGUAGCGGUGAAAUGCGUAGAGAUCUGGAGGAAUACCGGUGGCGAAGGCGGCCCCCUGGACAAAGACUGACGCUCAGGUGCGAAAGCGUGGGGAGCAAACAGGAUUAGGAUACCCUCGUAGUC
rnacentral:rRNA from 1 species